GAUGAACGCUGGCGGCGUGCCUAAUACAUGCAAGUCGAGCGAACAGACGAGGAGCUUGCUCCUCUGACGUUAGCGGCGGACGGGUGAGUAACACGUGGAUAACCUACCUAUAAGACUGGGAUAACUUCGGGAAACCGGAGCUAAUACCGGAUAACAUGUUGAACCGCAUGGUUCAACAGUGAAAGACGGUCUUGCUGUCACUUAUAGAUGGAUCCGCGCCGCAUUAGCUAGUUGGUAAGGUAACGGCUUACCAAGGCAACGAUGCGUAGCCGACCUGAGAGGGUGAUCGGCCACACUGGAACUGAGACACGGUCCAGACUCCUACGGGAGGCAGCAGGAGGGAAUCUUCCGCAAUGGGCGAAAGCCUGACGGAGCAACGCCGCGUGAGUGAAGAAGGUCUUCGGAUCGUAAAACUCUGUUAUUAGGGAAGAAAAAAUGUGUAAGUAACUAUGCACGUCUUGACGGUACCUAAUCAGAAAGCCACGGCUAAAUACGUG
rnacentral:rRNA from 1 species